rnacentral:snRNA from 1 species
GGAUAUGAGGGCGAUUUGUCACCCCAUUCAUCGCCAGGGUUGAUUCGGCUGAUCUGGCUGACUAGGCGGGUGUCCCCUUCCUCCCUCACCACUCCAUGUGUGUCCCUCCUGAAGCUGCACGCUCGGUCGAAGAGGAUGACCAUCCCCGCUAGAGGAGGACCGGUCUUUGGUCAAGGGUAUACGCGUAAGCUGCGCUCCCCUGCUAGAACCUCCAAACAAGCUCUCAAAGUAAAGUGAUCUCUACAUUCAUACAUACUGUUGUCCUGUUAGAACCAGAGGGAUAAGGGCCCUUUACUUGACCCAGUUUAUGUUGGAUAUGUUACACA